rnacentral:rRNA from 1 species
ACCCGCUGAACUUAAGCAUAUCACUAAGGGGAGGAAGAGAAACUAACGAGGAUUCCCUCAGUAACGGCGAGUGAAGCGGGAAGAGCUCAGAAUUUGGAAUCUCCUGUUUCUUUGACAGGCGAAUUGUAGUUUUCAUUUGGAUGAGCAUCUGUGUUGGUGUGAUUUACAAUUGGAUGUGCAAGUUUCCUUGGAAGAGGACACCAGAGAGGGUGAGAGUCCCGUUGCAGCGUCCUGUCGCACUCCGGUUAUGUUGCUUGUCUGUUGAGUCGGGUUGUUUGGGAAUGCAGCCCAAAAGGGGUGGUAAAUUUCAUCCAAGGCUAAAUAUGGGCACGAGACCGAUAGCGCACAAGUACCGUGAGGGAAAGAUGAAAAGCACUUUGAAAAGAGAGUUAAACAGUACGUGAAACCGUUGGAAGGGAAUCGGUUGCCGCUAGCAAAAUGAUAGAAGCUGCGUAAUCAGGCAAGAAUAUAUAGUUGUAUGUAUCUUUGCUGCACUUGCGUGGUUUUCUGUGUCAGCAUGGAUUUGGUGUGUGGGAGACGGUUGUGCGAGGGCGCCCUUGUGCGUGGCAUACAGCCUGUUGCUGCACGCUGGAUUGAGGAAGAACCAACACUAUCGUGGCCCCAUGUGCUGUUCUCAGCAGACAUGCUGCAGACAAAUUUUUCAUGGUUUGUGUGUGGAUGUGUGUGUUGGGAAUGUUGUGUGUGGUGUGUGCAUUUGGUGUUGUGAGAUGCUGGCGACAGGGCUGCAACCGGCCCGUCUUGAAACACGGACCAAGGAGUCCAACACAUGCGCAAGUCUUAUUCAAUAGCAAAAAGAAUGGGGCGAAAUGAAAGUGAGAGGUGAGACGAUGAAAACACUUUUUCAUUGGCAUCAUCGACCAAUCUGGAUUGUUUGCAUUUGUAAACUUGAAGGAAUUGCGUUUGAGCGUGUGUGCUGGGACCCGAAAGAUGGUGAACUAUGCCUGAGUAGGGUGAAGCCAGAGGAAACUCUGGUGGAGGCUCGUAGCGGUUCUGACGUGCAAAUCGAUCGUCAAACUUGGGUAUAGGGGCGAAAGACUCAUCGAACCAUCUUGUAGCUGGUUCCCACCGAAGUUUCCCUCAGGAUAGCUGGAACUUUUAUAAUAAUCGCAGUUUUAUCGGGUCAAGCGAAUGAUUAGAGGCCUUGGGGAGCGAUUUUCCUCAACCUAUUCUCAAACUUUAAAUAGGUAAGACGCACAACUUAGUUUAGUCAAGUUGUGUAUGUAAUGCGAGUUCCAAGUGGGCUUGUUUUGGUAAGCAGAACUGGCGAUGCGGGAUGAACCGAACGCAGAGUUACGGUGCCGGAAUCGACGCUCAUGAGAACCCAGAAAAGGUGUUGGUUGAUAUAGACAGCAGGACGGUGGCCAUGGAAGUCGGAAUCCGCUAAGGAGUGUGUAACAACUCACCUGCCGAAUCAACUAGCCCUGAAAAUGGAUGGCGCUCAAGCGUCGUACCUAUACUCUGCUGUUUAUUCAACAUGGAAAUGAAUAUGUGAGCAAUCAUGUAUUUCAUUCAACUUUAUGGAUAAACAAGUAGGUGGGCGUUGUGGUUUCGUGGAAGCAUGUGGCGUGAGCCUGUGUGGAGAAGCCUCAAGUGCAGAUCUUGGUGACAGUAGCAACGAUUCAAAUGGGAGCUUUGAAGACUGAAGUGGAGCAAGGUUCCGUGGGAACAGCACUUGGCCACGGGUGAGUCGGUCCUAAGAGAUGGGUCAACUCUGUCUAGACACUGUGUACAUGGAUGUAUUUUGUGUACAAGUUAUCGAAAGGGAACCAGGUUAAGAUUCCUGGACCAGGGCACACAUUUUGGUGAAGCGGCAACGCAACCAAACUCGGAGACGCUGGCGGCAGCCCUAGAAAGAGUUUUCUUUUCUUUUUAACAGAUUCAUGGGGGUUUGCAAAAAGCAAUUUUUGUUUUCCUCUGGACAU